rnacentral:snRNA from 1 species
UUGCUUUGGCAGCACAUAUGCUAAAAUUGGAACGAUACAGAGAAAAUUAGCAUGGCCCCUACACAAAGAUGACGUGCAAAUUCGUGAAGUAGUCCAUAUUUAA